rnacentral:lncRNA from 1 species
GAAACUUAUGGAUCACAGGUUCAAAAGAUUUCUGGGUUGACAUUUCUGAUUUGUCAAUGGGAGUAUAAACCAGGUAUGGGUGCUCGGGGAUUUGCUGGUGCUCACUGGCAUUCCAUAAGGCAGCCUGUUGGUUGUCAGGGUGGAAAUUAGGUGCUGCUGGAGGCCCCAUGAUGUGGGUGCCCCAUUUCUUGGAUUUCUCAUCCGAUGCUGGUGGUUGAUCCUUAGGGUGGGAUUCCUCCGUGACAGUGGCAGAUGAGGUUGGUUCAUGGAAUUCUGCCUCUUGAUCAGCCUUUGAAGAUGGUGGUGGUGGAGGUACUUGUUGGGUUUCUGUCUCUUGCGGAGUGCCUGUCAUCUUUACUAAAUAAAAUUGAAUGGAAGGUAAAAGGGGGAAAACACGAAAAGCGGCAGAUCAAGAUUGGUUAUCUGAUCCAGUGAGAACUCUUGGAAGAUUUGAUGGUUUGGUUGGUGCUAAUAAACUUUUGAUUUAUAGAAGUUCAAUUCAUGGGUUAUCCAUAUUAUAUAAUUUCUAGACACGGUUUCGUUUUCUUUGCAAUGAAGAAAGAUGAAAAAUCAACCUUCUAGAUUAGCAAUAAUGUUUUCAGCGUCUUUAGCCAGCCAUAUUGUAUAAAUUAUGCUCUUUCUAGAUAUUUUGCAAAAGGGGUGCCAAUGUCAAAGCACUGCUUGAUAUUACCACGAAUAGAAAAGAAGGUUUGUCUGCUUUGCAUCAACAAAUUAUCAUGAAUGGAAAAUAUCUAAAAAAUACUAAUUUAAUAUUUUGAAUUAUGCUCUGUCCAGAUGUAGGAUAUUUUGAAAACGGAUGACAAUGUAGGAUAUUUCUAGAUUAGCAAAAAAAAACUAUAUCUAGGUGCAUGUUGUUAAUAUUUUUCUAGUAAAAAAAUUAAAUUGAAUAGAUUCGAAGUAGGUUUAAAUGUAAUUAGAAUGAUUAGUAAAAUAUAAUUAAUUUAACUAAAAAAAUUUAAGAUGAUAUUUAAAAAAAAAAAUUGAAUUGAAAACAUAUUGGAUCGACCUGAAUUAAUUCAGGUUUAUCUAUUAAAUACCCAACUUGAGUUAUAAAACCACAAUAACCAUAUAUAAAACGAAUUGAAAAAAGUUAGGUGCUCAAUUUCUAAUCAACUCAAUAUUUUGUUAAAUUUUUUAAAGUAUAUAAUUAAAAAAAUAAUCUUAGUUAACCACUAAACUUACGACUCAAGUCAUGAAACGAGGAUUAACUUAUAUAAUGUAAAAUAAAAUAAAUUAUGAAGUCUUAUUCUUAAUAAAUCAAAUGUUGAAUAAUGAAAUUAAAAUUAAAUAAUUAAAAAUUGACAAAAAAAAGACUUAAAUCAACCCGGGUCAACUUUCCAAACUUAUAACUCAAAUCAUAGGACUGAAAUAACAUCAUAGAAAAUAAAUAAAUAAAAAAUGACCUUGGUUAAAUCGAGUUAACCUAUCAAACUUGUGAGUCGAUUUAAGAAAUUUAGAUAACCCCAUUGAAAGCAAAUCACAACAAAUUAUGAAACUCAAUUCUCAAUCAAUCAAUUUUAAAAUGAUAAAAUUGAAAAAAAAAAUUAAAAAAAAUAAUAAAACAACUUGAGUCUACCUAAGUUAACCAACGAAACUUGUGACCCGAGUAAUAAGACCGGGAUAACCUCGAAAUAAAUAAUUAAGUUUAAUUUCUAAUCAAAUCAAUAUAAAAAUAUAAAUUUUUUUUAAAAAAAUUAAAAACAAACCUUAGUAAACUUGGCUAACAAACCAAACUAAUAUUUUGUGAUAUAAUGAACAGUAAGAAAUCAUUUAUUUUAGUAUUUUUUUUAAUAAUAAUUUGGUUGAUAAUAAUUUGUUAAUGUUAUCAACCUGUUAAACCAUAUAAAUUAUGCCCUUUCUAGAUGUAGGAUAUUUUUGAAAACAGACGCCAAAACUUUGAGACCAAGGGACUUCACAAACUGGUUCUAUUAAGACAGGUGCAUUUGUCAAUAAUUUCUAGAUCCUUCUUUUAGCAGCCCCAUGUUGACCAGUUACAAGGAUCACGGUCAACAGGUUAGAACCAAGAGGUUUUAUUUUUUCUAGGAUUUCAAAUUUAAACUUUAAUUACUAAUAUAAUGAUUAUUAAAAUAAAAAUUUAUAUAAUUAUUAAAUUUAAAAUUCAUAAAAUUAAUCAAAAUAAAUACAAAUUAUGUCAAAUAUUUAUAUUAAUUAAAAAAAAAAACAGAGAGAGAGAUUACGGUCUACCCUUUACAUGAACUCAAAUAUAGCACCACGCGGGAUUAGUGCUCCCUUGUUUUAAAAAUUUUAUUUGCUUCGGUUUUCUGGGACUGGCACUAGAAGGUGUACAUGGAUUUUAAUUACAAUCGUGAGUGUGUUUGAUUUUUCAUUUUUUUUCUUUAAAUAAUUUUUCAAAAAUAGAGAAACAACUGUUCAAAUAUUAAAUUUUAUGAUACAUCUAAAUCCAAUCAUUAAGACUUGAUUUGUAAAUUCGAUAUGGUGGGUGCUGACGUGUCAUAUUGUGUCUCGUGGCUUUUACAAUCCGCCACAUAAGAAAAAGUUUACUGGUUGGGUAUGACAUGGCAUCCUUGAAUGGGUGAGGAGACCUUUUUGAUCAUUGACUAUUUAAAGGGACUUGACCAAGAGGACAUCCGUGGUCGAUGUAACAUAUUCAUCAGCUUUAAUGACAAAUCGUACAUACAUUACAUGCAAAUUCUCGAAGCAUGUGACAUUGUUUUUUUACGUAACCACUAAGAAUAUUUCGUAAUAUAUUAAUAAUGCCUGAAUACAUUUAUAUUUUAAAAGUUUUUUUUAAAAAUUUAAUUUAAUUUAAUUUUUAUUUUUUUAUUUUAAAUUAUAUGCUGAUGUUAAAAAUAAUUUUUUUAAAAAAUAUAUAUUUUAAUAUAUUUUCAAAUAAAAAAUACUUUAAAAAAUAAUUAUAACUACACCCUCAAAGACCAAUUAAAUAGAAAAAACAAAUUUUGGCUACAUAUUUAAUAUGGUAGAUUGCAUUCUCCACUUCAAACAUUUUAUGUUUUUAUAAAUUCAAAUAUUAUAAAUUAAAUUGAUAUAUUUUUAAUUUUUAUAACUAUUAAUUAAAUUGAAAAACUUAUAAUAUACUAUAACUAGGUAUAAAAUUUCAUACAUAACACUCUAUCGAAAAACUAGAUUUUAAUGGUCUAAAGUUACAAACUCAUUAUUUUUAUUUCAAUUCCUUAAUUUCAUUAUUUCUUCAGAUUCAUCUAUCAAAACAUAUAAAAUCACUUUCAAUGAUUUUCUGUCAAUCUAACAUUCACUCCUUAAAAGUGAUUAGAAAUUAGUAUUAUAAAACCCUAAUUCCUAAACCUUUUUUUUUUGUAAUCCUAAUAUAUAUAUAUAUAUAUAUAUAUAUAUAUAUGCAAAAACUCUCAAUUACAAAGCAAGGAUGGAGCACACACCUUAAAUUGAUAAUAAAAAAAAUAUUUUAUCUAUAAAUCAAAUCUUCUCCUUUCUCUCUCUUUCUCUGUUGAUGUAGGUUUUGAUUAUCUAAUAAAAUUAGAGUGUAAGUUACUCUAAAGUUUUGUUUUCUUUUUAUACUCUAAAUUAUUGUGUAACUACUAACUUAUAAUACCCUUAAUAAAUAAAAAGGGCAUAAUAAAAACCCUAAUUAAUUAUUUUAUUUUAUUUAUUAUUGCUAUUUUAUAUAUAUAUAUAUAUCAAAACAUGUGAAAUGUUUUAGUUAUCCCUCAACCAUAGUCACCUAUAAUUACUCAUUAAAGGAUAAUGUUGUCCUUUCCUAUUCAAUUUUUCAUGGUAUCACAGACACAUUAGUAGCCUCCAUUGAUGAGUCAGCCUUCUACGAACACAACAGCAAAUACAUAGCAUCAACAAGUUACAUGUAGUAGCAGAAGAUCAGUCAUACCAACAGCAGAAAAAACUCCAGCGACAGCAACUUCAAAACAUGUACAGGAAUAGUAGCAACUGUUAAGAUUGUCCAAAAAUAUUAGAAAAUAAUAAUUAAGACAAGAGCAUAUAUAUACGUAGUUUAUAAUCAUGAAAUUCAUUAGAUCAUGGUAAAUUUGCUAUCAUAACAAAAAGUAUAUAUAAAAGACUCUAACAUGCAUUCUAGCAUAUACCAAACUUGAUAAUGAUAUAAAAAUAAAGUCUUAGCAAGCAUACUAGUCAUACAACAUAUUUUUUAAUAAUUUAAAACAAAACCAAAAAUACAUUACUUAUUUUUUAAAACACUUUAAAAUUGAUCAAGUUUUGUUAUUGUCAAUAAUCAAUCAUUUGUCCUAAAAAUUUUAUUGAUCUUCACUUGAUGCAAUAUGAUUUUUUUUCAAUAAAUUUCUCAAAAUUUCAGCAUCAACACCUUAUUUUAAUGUAUUUCUGAACAAGAUCCAGUAAGCCAAUAAAAUAUUACUUAAUAAUCCCUCUACAAUAAAAAUUAUUUUAUAAUGAAUCUAAAUCAUGUCCAGGCCUCGACGCAUACAGACGCAUACACGUGUAAGUUUAAUCCCAAAGCUCAAUUUGCUUAGGACAUCUCCCUUUUAAAAGGGUUGGUGCUUUUUAAAUUUAAUUUUAACUUCACAACUUUUCAUUUAAUAAACAUAAAAAAGGUUUUGUUUCUUUUCUAUAUAGAAUAGAGUUUUUUUUAGAAAGUUUUUGGUUUUACAAAAAUAUAUUAACUCAUGAUUUUUUUAGAUCAAUUUCUCAUUAACCCAUAUUUUUUAAAAUCAUGUUAAUGUUUCAUAUUAAAUUAAAAUUAAUUUUUAAUAAAAUUUUAACCCAAAAAGUGAGUAGACUCUACUUUUAAUUUGGUUUUAAAUAUGUCCAUUUAACCAUAUUCUUAGAUAAGUUUUCCAACAACACAACACAUCAUUAGUAGUCCUUAAAAGUUGUAAUAGUUAUUGCAACAAUAAACAACAAUAACUACUUUUUUAUCUAGAACUAACCUUAACAACGGGACGCCAAAUUAAGAUCUUACAUGAGGUAGUAUGGUAUUUUUUUAGGGGCAUAUGAAGAUUUCCCAACCUGGAAUCAAUAAGGUCAAGUUAUAUGCUAUUUUUUUAAUGGCACAUGAAAAGUAAAACUUGCCUUUGAAGAACUUGUAAUAGUUAUCCGCAAAUUAUCAGAUUAAGUCAAGUUAUAUGCAAUUUCAAGAUAUUGAAGACUUGCAUAUCUUUCUCAAAAAAAAUAAAGAAAAGACAUCCUCGAAUUGGCUUCGUUUGUGAAGUUCCAAAAACUACUUAGUGUUUGAACUCUAGAAGAACCCCGACUCUACGGUUGAAAGAGUAGGUGGUGCUGCGUCUUUAUGCUUUUUUCUUUUGCUGCUGAUCUCACAUCGAGAACAGCUCCUUGACAGUUGAUCCUAUUUAAAAAAGAACCUUUUUUUUUUUUCUAAAUGAGUGUUUAAGAAAAUUAAUUUAAGCAAAGUAUUGUUAAGAUACGAAAAGGUUUUCUAGAUUAAAAAAAAAUGUGAAAUUUUUAUAUAACUAGUUAAUUAAAAUUCUUAAUGAACUAGAAUUUAAAGUUCUUGUUGCAAAAAGGAUAUUUUGAACUUAUAAUCUAUCUAUAAAUAUAUAAAUAUAAGGGGCAAUAUAUGCUGUUAAGGCUUUUGCAAAUUGAGAAAUGGAAAACGAUGUUGAAUGCGGUGGGAGGGUGGGGAAAGUAUAUCAGAAAAUAUAUCCAAAUGCAACUCCGUUAUCAAAAAUCUACAUAACUAUAUAAACAACAAUAAAAAAAAAAGAAAAAGAAAAAAAAAAGAAUACAUUAUAGAAGAGGAUAAAUGAAUGACAAGAGGAAAACCAAAAGAAAAUGCCCUUCAGACAACAAACAAUAAAUCCACUAGAAACAGUGAAGAUCAAAAUUUUGAAGGGCAUGAAGGAUUCAACUCCAAAUGCAAUCAUUGGCUAAGCAACAACUGGUUGAAUUGCAAUUCCUGCUUCCUUGAAACUUGACACGCUCUCUGAUAGAUUUUGCAAGGCUUUCUCGAAAUUAACGAAACCCAUAAACCAGAAGUCGUGCCCAUCGGUGCUGACAAGUUGAAUGUACUUCCUUGAUGGAUUUUCCAGCAUUGUCUCCGAGCUGACUGUGCUUAUUUUGUCCAAGGGUAUCAUAACCUGCCCAAAAUAAAUUAUUAUUGAAUUCAUUAUUAGUACCAUGAUGUACACGGAUGGCUAUGGCAAGAUAGAAAAUUUAGUUUGAGCUUUGAUUGCCAAAGACAUUUAUUUUUGCUUUGCUGUAUCUCCGUGAACUACCCUUUUAUAUAUGCACGAUUUCUCUCAACUUCACCUUUUGUUUGGAAUUUAACAGAGCUUAACUAUAUAUAUAACAAUAGCUUUGAAUGUAGUAAAAUCUAUCCGACUUGGUGUCUAGCUAGCGAUGUAUUUACCUUGUAGUAGCUCCAGGCCUCCUCUCCUGAAGGAGCAGUAUGGGACAGAGGACGGUCACUGCAGAACGCGACUCGAGCAGUUGAUAGAUAGAGCGUCCCGGCAACAGGGCCAGUAGAUGUUGACAGGUAACAAGCAAAAGUCUUCUUCAGCUUCUCAUUAGGAUCCGUUUCAAAUAUUUGCUUGAAGAGAGACUCAAAGCCACCCUCUGUGAUUGCUUUCGCCGUCAGGUUUACCUUACCCCAGGCAGAUUGUGGCACAGAUGGCCCUGUGCUAACUGCAUUAAAGUGUAUGUGCAGGUGCGUGUUAAAACAGAUCAGAAAUAAGAUUGGAAGAUACACUUGAACUGAAUUUGUUGUCCGCUUUGAUGCCAGAAAAUCGCUACUCUAUCAUGGUCACAGUGAUGAUCAAUUAGCUAAAUUUAAUACUUCAUGGUUUGUGAACAUCAACUUACGAUUGUGCCACAUGUUACGGGCUACGGUCUCUGCCUUCUUGCCCCAUCCCUGAAACUUAUGGAUCACAGGUUCAAAAGAUUUCUGGGUUGACUUUUCUGAUUUGUCAAUGGGAGUAUAAACCAGGUAUGGGUGCUCGGGGAUUUGCUGGUGCUCACUGGCAGUCCAUAAGGCAGCCUGUUGGUUGUCAGGGUGGACGUUAGGAGCUGCUGCUGGUCCCAUGAUGUGGGUGCCCCAUUUCUUGGGCUUCUCAUCCGAUGCUGGUGGGUGAUCAUUAGGGUGGGAUUCCUCCGUGACAGUGGCAGAUGAGGUUGGUUCAUGGAAUUCUGCCUCUUGAUCAGCCUUAGGUGGUGGUGGUGGUUGUGGUGGAGGUACUUGUUGGGUUUCUGCCUCUUGAUCAGCCUUAGGUGGGGGUGGUGGGGUUACUGGUUGGGUUUCUGCC